rnacentral:lncRNA from 1 species
UCUUAUUUUUGUACAUUACAUUUUAAUAAUUGCAAUUUAGUCUAAGUAAAAAUUGACAUAAUAUAUAUUUAUAUAGGUUUUUUAUUCGUUUAAAUAGAUUUCUUAACCCUACUGAUUCAUCAACAAAAAGCUUAAUUUUACCAAUUAUACGAGAAUUUGAAUUGAUUAAUAAGAAUAUUUAAUUAAUUAUUCUGGAUAUAUUUGUUGCAGAAAAAUCCAACGGCAUUGUCCAUUUUGCAAUAAAAGGAUUAAAAAUCGACAGAUUUUAUAUCAACACAUAAAGAGAUGCAAAGAGGGUAAUUUGCCGAUACCACCUGAAUUCAUGUGCGGAUGUGGCCUUUAUCAAACAGGAGUGAAGAGCAAACUUCUUAAACAUAUUAGUUAUAGACACCAUAUUCCUCUAUCUUUGCAGUUUUAUCGUUUAAAAUUCCGGUUCUCAUCUUCUGAUUUUGAUUAAUAAUUUUGAUUAAUUUUAAUUUAAUUUGUAUUUGAUUAAUAUUUUUAAUCAUAAUAACUACUAUGACAAUUCAUAUUCUUCGAAGUCGAUAAGACUACUUAAUGACGAUGUUUACGUAAUAUUCACCAAUUAUAAAAUGAUAGACGGAACUGCUUGAUAGUUUGACAGAACUAUUCAACAUCUGAAAUAUAAUAUAAUAAGUGUAUUUUUUUGAAAUAUGAUAUAUGAAAUAUGAUAUAAUAAGUUGUAUUUUUUUGUCUUUAAUCGAUAUUCACGGAACUAAUAAUGGAUAUUAUAAAUCUUUGUUUUACAAGAUUUUAUACAAUUUUAUUGCGUAAAUAUUCAAAUUAUUUUGAGAAAUAUUAUUUAAAACUAGAAAUUUUUGAUUGCCUUUGAAAAAUCUAGAAUGUUUUGAGUGUCUAGAAAAACUUGAGAAAUAUUUAAAUACUAAAAAAACAUUUAAAGAAAUAAAAAAAUAUUUUUAAAAAAUUCUAAAAAUAAAAUUAUUUUCUGUAUCUGAGUAAGAUUAUAAGAUAACGUAAAAUUAAUCUAACAUUUUUUUUUAAAGUAAAAAUAUAUUAUAAUUUUUUUACAUAACAUAUGUAUACAUACAUGUGUAAUGUAAUAUACAUAAAUAUAUUUUCUGUUAUAUCUUAAUCAAUAUGUUUUUCAAGAUAUUCAUGACUUUACAUUCAAGAUUUUCAAAUAUUUUUCAACAAGUUUCGAAUAACAUUUAGAAUCACUUUAGAUUUCUGUCAGAAUAACAGAAUGAUUUGAUAUGUUUUAAAUCUGUCAUUUUUUUUAUUCAGGACGGUUAUUAUAAAUGUGAUUUAAAUAUUGAAGUAAAUUUUUACUUAUGGCAUAUUAAUUAUUAAGGUUUUAUAUGGCGCUAAAUACAUCGUUCUUCUGCAAGACUUUACGUUUACCGUUUUUCAUUUUCCUUCACUGUAUAUAUAAAUAUACUAGCCGACAAAACUAACUGUGAUGUAAUUGAGAAACGUUCGUGCAAAAAUCACGAUUUGUAUCUUGGCAUGAAAUGCAUCUCCAACCAAAUACGCUUGCGAAAAUAUGUGCAAAUAGGGUGAUUUUUUUUUGUUUAAUGCAACACGUAUCUCUCUUGGGACAGUUUAAGCGACGAGAGAUAGAUGAGUAGAUCCCCAGCUAGAUCCUAGACAUCGUCGAAGAGUCUACUCUUCUCUAUCCGCACGCUAUGCACGAAUUCGCGAGGAAGAGACGCAGCUGUGUCUAUGUACAAUGCUUUCUAACCGGAUGUUUCGUGUUCUUUUGUUUUCCAGAUGCACGCUCAUCAAGAUAUCUGAAUUGCCAGAGGGUGACAUAUCCCUGCAAGAAUUGUGGCAAGGCUUAUAACUAUUACUCCAGUCUGGCGAGGCAUCUGAAGCACGAGUGCGGCGUGGAGCCCAAGUUCCUCUGUCCCUUGUGUCCUUACAGGACGAAGCAUAAGUCGAGUCUGAAUACUCAUUUGAACGGCAGGCAUAUGAAACUAUUAAGCGAGCUUUAUACCUUGCCCAAUGGCAAUAAGUCGUCUUCAUCGGAUGCCAGAAAUUAAGUCGUAUCUGCAUUCGAAGAUAUAAUACAUGAUGUAUUAGAUGCUAUAUGUGCGAUGUUUUUUGUACUAGAUAAUUCAGAAUUUAUACUAUUUAUUGGUUGACUAGUAAAUUUGACUUAUAAUUACAUAAUAUGACUUACAGUAUUAAGGACAUAUAAAAUUAUAUUUAAUAAAAUUUAAUAAAUAUAUUAUGUAAAUUUAUUACGUUUACAAAAUAAUUAAGGGUUUUUCAGUGCAAUAUUGUUGAAUAUACUCUAAUGAGUAAUAUUCAAUAUACUCUAAAACUUAGAAAUAUUGAAUAUUCUCUAAAACUGUAAAUAUUACAACGAACUAGCAAAGUUGUGAAGAAGUUAUAAUAAUAAUUUUGAUUAUAAAUAUUUUCUUAUGGUUCUGAAUUAUCUUGUACUCAAAUGGUUUGAGCCUUGGUCUCCUAAUGUUAUAUAUUUCUUCCUUUAUUAAUUAACUCUAUAACUGUGCAUGUACAUAUAAUUACUAUGUUUUUUAGUAUCUUAUUCUGUUCUUCCGUCUGCAAGCAGAGAAUGUUCCGACAGAAUAUCGCCAACGAGCGUUUAUUUUUCAAUGAUACAAUAUUUAUAUCUAUAUUUUUAUAAACAGUCAUCCUUUCAUGCGUCAUUACCAGUGAGAUAAUCGGAUAGGCAUGAGACGUACUAUGUAUACGUAUAAUAAAAAUAUACAAUUCCUUUCUGGAAUUUUGUCGCGACCAUUUUGUAUUUUUUGAAGGAAAGAGAUUGCAAUCUACUGUAUUUUAUAUUAUUUUGAUAUAUAGCACGUAAUUAUAAUUAUGAUUAUGGUUAACUAUGAUUAUAGUUACGAAACCUGAUAUAUUUAGUAAUAAUAAUUAUAACAAAUUUAUUGUUAAAGGCAGAUUUAUAAUUAUAAAAGCAGAUUUGUUUUUGUUUGUGUGUAUAUUAUUUUGCAAUUUAAUUUAUUUUUUUUUUAUUUAAAAGCCUUGGCAAGCUUUUUUAAGUCGAGAAUUAACUUACAAUUAGAUUGAAUUUGACAUUGUGCCUAAACUCCUAAACUGUAUAAAUUAUUUUUCUAGGAGUUUAGGUAAAGAAGAGAUUUUGUUUUCUUAACUUCGACUGUCUUAACGAGUAUAUGUAAACUUAAAUGUUUAUUUCUCUACUUUCUUACGCAUUAUAAAUCUUUGAAAUAAGAGCUUUAGUUUUGUAUUUGCAAAGAUGUAUUUAAGAAUGGGUUACGUCGCUUGUUAAAAUUAUUUGAGAAAGCAGCAUUACCGAUUCAGUGCGAAAGCAAACACCGAAGAUUUCGAUACCAAAGUUUAAUAAGUGUUAAUUGCGAAACAGAUAAGCAUCAACUCAAUAUACGCAAUAAUUUUUAUAUUAAAGAAGAUCAUUUAAUAGUUUAAUCUUUCAAAGUUAUUAUUAAAUGAUAUUUACACUAAUACGAUUAAGUUUAUCGUUAACAGAAUUGAAUGUAACAAGUAUGUUUUGAAAUAUUAGUAAAUAUCCGAUAAAUGACGCCAAAAUAUGAAAAAUAUAAAUGAACUUAUUAACAUUCACGCACAAUCGACAAUAAGAGAGGCAUAGAAACUAUACACGCUUAUGUGGGUAGUAAUACGCUUUGUUGUACGUUUAUUAUAAAAUGUGACAACUAAUAUAUGUGCGUGAACAUCUCAUGCGGAACGCAAAGUAUUACUAUAAAUACCUAUUUAUAUAGAUACUUCAAUAAAAAUUACGAUAAAUCGCUUUUGUUUUUGUAAUAGCCCAUAACCAGUUUUGUUUAAUAUUCUGUUUCAGAUGUCCUCCUUUGGCGUUUGGUUUACGUCGUGUUACGUAAUUACGAUACAAUUAUAACUUUCUUAAACAAAUUAUUUACUUUGAUUUAAUUUUCAAAGUGUUGGAAUAAAAUUUUUUUAGCAAUUGCAGUAAUUUCGUUUAAAAAUAUUGAAAAUAUCUUUCUUUAACAGCUCUUAAUAUCGGAAAUAAUGCUAUAUCAUGAGAAACACAACACUACAAAAAUAUAGAAUGAAGAUAUAUCUAAUUUAUAAUCGUAAAACAGACUGUAACAUUGUUCUUUUGAUAACAUGUUCGGAAUUAUAAAGUGUAUCUAAUAAAAUUGACAACGAGAAUAAUUGUAAAUAACUUAUUAUUAUUAUGUAUAUUAUUUUAUAAAAUAUCUAAUUUUUUAGUUUAAUUAAUUAUUUUAAUUUUUGAUUGUGUAUAUCGUAUAUCGAAACUUUGAAGAGAUUAAUUAAUAAAAAAAUACGUUAAUAAAAUAUGUAAUAGUACAUUUAAUAUACUAUAUGUAAUUGUGUGUGUUGGAAUUUUAUAUUAAUUAUUUUAAUGAUUCUAAAAAUUCAUAUCUACUAAUGUCAAACUUUAUUUUUAUUAAUCUGUUUUAUUUUAUUAGCGACAGGCAAUGAAUCAAAAUUUUUUUCUAAUAAAUCUUUGUUAUUUUGUUCACUCAAUAGGUCUUCGAAAUCAAUUAAUUUAUUCAUUCAGUAGAUCUUCGAAUAUUGGAUCGACAUUGCUAUCAGAAGAAUACCUAUGUGGACGCUUGAUUGUAACAAGUUUGCGAUUUAUACAUAUAAUGGUGCUUCAACGCUAUGGAGGAGCUCGAUCCUUUGACAUUACCUGUGCAACGAAACAAGUCGUAUUAUCGGACAAUCGAAGAUCAAAUAACGGCGCAAGUCGAUCCGACGAAGAGCUUUUCGUGUCCUCGUUGCGGGCGAUGCUACAAGGUGAAGAGAUCGCUGCGUCGACAUAUCGUGGUUGAAUGCGGCAAGGCGCCGAAGCACAAGUGCCCUUACUGCCAGCAUCAGAGCAAGUAUAAGGCCAGCAUAACGAAGCACGUCGCACAUGUACACCCGAGUAUGCCGUACCCGUUACUUGGUACCGAUUAAUUCGUCAAACGAUUUUAUUUAUUUUCUUAUUUUUUGUUAUGAAUUAUCAGAUUAUAUUUUAAUGUUUUUUAAAUAAAUUUUUCUCUUUGUUAUUGCAAAAUGCAAGUCAAUACCAGUUUUUGAAAAAUUCAUUGUCUCUUAUGAUAAAUUAUUAAUUUUUACAUUGUUAAUACAUAUUGGCAUUUAAAUCGUCAGUAAAGAUUUAUUUUACUAUUUUAUUACGUUUAUGAAGUUGUUAAUGUGUAAGAGAGACGUAUGAGAUGCAUAAUUAAUUGACUUUUAACAUAUUUUGUUAUUAAUUGUAUGGAAAUUUUUCUAUACAACGCCAGUUAUGUGAAAGAAUAUAUCUUAUGCAAUUAUAAAUAAAACUGAUAUCUCCUAAGUUAGUUAGAACAUGUCAAAAUGAGAAAUAAACGUUUCGAAUGUUCGAACAAUUGAUUAUUGUACAUAAAUAGCGCUUGUAAAAAUGUUCUCUAAUCUUAAUCUUCGCAAUACAUAUUGAGACAAAUGUUGACGCAUGUUAUUAUUUCCUCGUCUCUAGCAUUUUACAUUUUUAGAAGGUACAUUAAAUAUGUCAUCGUUUUUUGCGGUGCACUCAGAAAAAUGAUGGUAAGAAAAUUUGCGAGUAAGAGAUAGAAGAUUGACUUACAAAGCGUGAGUGGAACAGAUUCACCGAAAAAGAUUCAUUUUAAGGAUGUUUUAACGAGAUUUACAUUGAGAUUGUGUAACUGUGUUCGUGCAUGGUCGUGAUAUUAUGUAUUACUUUUCAGAUACGCAGCGGAUUUCCUCUCGCAUACAGCUCUGUACAUUCUUUUCUCAUAUUGUUAUUUUUCGGUCGCAUUAAGACUCUACGAUCCAGCCGAUUCGAACGCGGGUUAUUAUCUCGUUUCCAAUUAUGUAUUUCCUCUAUCCGAUUACACAGGGACUUGAGUGAGGUUCGUUAGCGAAGUUGCCGCGUUUAUAUCUGGCUUAAAGAAACAAAUCGCAGAAAAUUAAUGAAAUGCUUUUUUUUGCCAUCCAACUGCGAGGAUGAUGAAGACGAGUGCUACUUCCGGUAUUAAUAAAUUAUUCUUCGUGUUUGCAGGUUUUGUGAAGGUGACCUAUUACAUGUCUCAAAUGAAGGAUCGGCGACGGUGUCGUGGCCAAGGUCGUUUCGCCUGCGAUAACUGCGACCGCCGUUAUCACCAGAUGAAGAACCUGAGGAGGCACGUGACGAAUGAGUGCGGCAAGCAGCCGAUGCAUCAGUGCUCCUUCUGUCCAUAUAGAGCGACUUAUAAGUCGUAUCUUCAAGUGCAUAUGAUGAAACACACCAAGCACGGUUUCGUACCUCGCAUUAAACAUCAUGAUUCAUGAAAGCCUUUUCGACACUUGUCUGCUAGGUAAACUUGACUUUUCGCUCGAGUGACGAAGUUACUUACCAGGAUCGGAAGAUCGCGAGACUUUCGUGGAAAAGUAUUGACGAGCCGAGUAAUACUGAGUACUGAGAAGGCACUGAGAAUGAACGAGAAAUUUUACUUAAAAAUUUCUGUAUGUCGACAGUCUUCAGUGUCGUCUAAAGAAAUUUUCUCUACACAUGAUUUUUUGAUAUGUGUACUUUUUUUUUUAUUAAUUUGGUUGAAUUGUAAAGCAUUCCAUAUUUAUAUCGCUAUGCUAAUGUAGAAUGGCCAUUUGACAAUUAUCUUAGACCUAAGGUAAAUAUCUAAGGAAUUUAAUAAAAUCGACAUCUCACUCCGAGACAAA